UACGUAGGGUCCGAGCGUUGUCCGGAAUUACUGGGCGUAAAGAGCUCGUAGGUGGUUUGUCGCGUUGUCCGUGAAAACUCACAGCUCAACUGUGGGCGUGCGGGCGAUACGGGCAGACUGGAGUACUGCAGGGGAGACUGGAAUUCCUGGUGUAGCGGUGGAAUGCGCAGAUAUCAGGAGGAACACCGGUGGCGAAGGCGGCAUCCUGGACCAACACUGACGCUGAGGAGCGAAAGCCAGGGGAGCAAACGGG
rnacentral:rRNA from 1 species